AUUUUUUUUUCAAUUUAUUCAAGCACUCAUCCUCUAAGAAAGUAAGAACAAUUCUGUCCAGCAAGCAAGAACCACAGACAGGUCUCAAGUGAGUAAGGAAUGCCUUCGAAGAGUGUUUUUCUGCUGAAAACUGAAAUAUCUGCUGAGUGUGCCAGAGGAAGCUGUGUCUGUUGGAUUCCCGACCGCAGCGUUAUUUCUCCCUUGAGCCACAUGAAACAGGAUGAAGGGCAGAGGAGAUGGAAAGCGGGGAUGAAGCGCUGGGACUGCAAUUUCAGCCUGAAGUCUUCCCCGAAGGAGGGGAUCUGAAGGCUUCUAAGGAGGAUAAAUCCUUCCUUCUGCGUAUUCGUACAUCCAGAACUGGAAUUUGAAAAGACUAGCAAAGAAGCAGAGCAGUAACUGAAUCCAGGCAGGAAAAGGCAAUAACAAUUUCUGUGAAGCAAUUAUAUAUAUCAGAGGUAACUCAGAACAGCCUUAUCAAUGAAAGAGAAGGAUGACUGACCCUUUGAAAUGCUUCUGAAAAAUCUCUACAGAAUGAGCAGUAGAAAGUUGACUUUGAAUCUACUAGAAUUAUACAGAAACAUUAUUGUGUUACAUAUACACACACUAAUUAAUGUAACACAAAUCAAUACAAUGCACAACAGUACUGCAUGUGUCCCCCCUCCACAAUUCUGCAUUUCCCUGUUGUGUUUCAGAGUUUACAUCCUAUAGUACACAACUCCUACGUUUUCCUCAAUUUUAGAAACUGUCCUACUGGCAACCACUGCUCUUCUGGCUGAGGCCCACAGGGUGGAGGUUUAACCAUCAACGCUGCUCAGCAUCAGGAGUAAAGUUGGAUGAACUGAACCUUCUACCCCCAGACAGCUCCUGGGAGGGCCUGAGAAGACAGCAUGGCAUGGGACGGCUGCAGAACCACGCCAGCAGCUUCAGACACAGCAAUUGCCUGCCAGACAACUGGCAUUUAAAUUCAACAAUAUUUAUUAUUUUCCAUCUAAAGGCUGAUUCACACCAUGGUGAACUCCAGGGACAGAAAUUUGCUGGUAAGCCCCCAUUUCAAUACUGGUACUCAAUCCAGGCUUCGGUGACUACCUAUCUGAACCUCUUGAGAUCUUAAUUGCCUAACCCAGCAGCAGUGGAUAAGCGUAUAUUUAUAUAUGUUGCACAGCAGGUUGUGUCCCCAGUGCCAGGCUAUGGGAAGCACUGGAAGAGCUUAUUAAAGUUCCAGGUAAAGUUUCUCAGUUUGCAGCAUAAGAAAAGCUGUGACCACAGCAGUACUGGUCAUUACAGAAGCUCUCUCAUCGGAAGCAAUUAAGAAGAAACCAGACCAAGUAUUUCUGCAGGUCAAGCACUGGCAGGGCACGGGAGCAGUGUUACAAACAUUACAUCUUCAGGAUUUAAUUCGUGUGAUUCUCUCCACUGCUCUCUGCUACUUACACGAUGCAAGUCUGUUUAUAGCAAAGCAGGGACAGUAGGGACAGCUUAAUCAGGACAGUCUAACGUAUGGGCAAUUAUCCAAAGCCACACAUUUUCUAAAUUCUGUAUGGGCAGAGAUGGAGCUUAAGAGCUCUGCGGGGAUCAGAGCUGCUAACGAACUUCUAAGGAGGGCUCUGGGGACUGGGAUGUGCAUAAUGAGAAAAUCUGGAUAUUCGGUGUGAAGAACUCUCCUAAUUUAUCUGCAGACUAUGUAAAUUAAAUUUGUAUUUAACGCCUAUCACUACACAGUCCACUUUAGCACUGGGAUAAAUUGGGUAUCCUGUGAAUUUUCCCUUUUUUGUUACUAGUGUGGCUGAAAGUGUUCAGAAAGGGGAGAUCUGGAAAAUUUGGUCAAGCAUGCUGUUGGGAAGUGUUAUUAUACCACCAAAUCUUCCUGUCAGCUCCCACCUCUUGAGGUUACAGCAUCAUGUCUGCAGGCUACGUGCUUAUUUGUUCCCAUGUGUUACAUUUGGAUAUUAUCUGCAUAUACUGUGCAUGUAUAUAAGUAUUGUGUAUGUAUGUAUGUAGGUGCAUACAUAUAUUUAUAUGUGUGUAUUUGUGUGUGUGUAUAUACAUUUAUAACAUAUCUACUAAAGCAAAGGGGUCUAGAGGAGCUUUAAAAUACUAGAUUUAUAAAAGAAGGGGAAAAAAAAUCUUCCAAAAUACUUCAUUCUAUGUUUUCUUCUGUUAUUCUUUUCAUCUAACUAAACAUGCUUCCACUGUAUUUAACUCACUACAGCCUGAAGACAUCCUCAGUGUUCACCCCUAGCUCUAAUCCUGUUCCUUUGUUACCAAAUCAGUUCAGAAAAACAUCUCUGUUCAGAAAAGCACUUCAACAUAUGCUUAAGUACAUUCUUAAAGGUAAGUGACGUCUUGAAUCAGCCUAAUAAUUUAAAGUAGUAUUAAUAAACACUCCUUAAUAAACAAUUCCAUUUGAUAUGUCUUCA